UUGCUAUUUUUUGGAACUCUGCAUUCAGAUGGACAUAUCUUUCUUUUUCUCCUUUGCCCUUCACUUCUCUUUUAUCAGCUAUUUGUAAGGUCUCCUCAGACAACCAUUUUGCCUUUUUUCAUUUAGCAAGGAAAUUAAGACAGGACAGCACCAGACGUGGGAUGUAGAAUCUGGGCCUAGCUGUGACAUCCCUGGUAAGACUACCCUAUAUUCAGUGGGGAUGUGGAUUCAGCAUCUGAUGGGUUUCCAGCUUGAAUUGUCUAUGGCCCUACCCAGACCCUCCUCUUCAGAAGGUGGAAGUGACUGAUUCACAGCUACAUUAUCUUUGCUGGGCACCUUUAAUGAUUUGGGGGCUUCCCAGGUGGCUCAGGAGUAAAGAAUCCACCUGCCAAUGCAAGAGACACGGGUUUUAUCCCUGUGUCAGGAAGAUGCCCUGGAGGAGGAAAUGCAAACAUACUCCAGUAUUCUUGCCUGGAUAAUCCCAUGAACAGAAGAGCCUGGAGGGCUACAGUCCAUGGGGUCACAAAGAGUCGGACAUGAAGGAGCAAUUGAGCACACAUGCACAAAUAUCUAAAUAUAAUGAUGUAGGUAUUCAGGCAUUAAAUAAAUUUGUUCCUAGUGUAUUUCAUCUUAGCAUUUUAAGAGUCUUGAUAACAAGAUGUCAAAACUGCCUGGAUGAAUUGUGUAGUAAUUGUGAAAAAAAGCUACAAAGAGCCCACAGAGAAAAUAAAGAGUAAUCAUAUAGCAUCACCAAAUCUGCAGACUUGGCCCUGGAACAAAUCCACUACUUACCAAGGUGACUUGAUAUGGAGACUGAGCUUGCAGUGUUGAGAGGAAUCUAUCCCAUGUGGAAGAAAAGCACACUUUAACUUGCAUUUCAUUCUUUUGAGCUAAUCAUGACAUAUCAAGGUCACACUGCCUGCUUCUAAGUUAUAGACAGACAUCAGGAGACAAACAGAAUUUUCUAAGAUAAUCAGAGUGAGAAGGGCUUUUCCCUUCACUAUGUGGCCAAUAAGGGUCAGGGGAGAAUCUCAAUGGGGGAAACCAUUUCACUAUCAUAAACAGAUCACAGAGUACUAUUACAGACAGGCCGUUUGUGUGCAGGAGCAGAGAAUGGGUGCAAAAGGAUACCUGAUAAAUGACAGGGAGGGUGCUACACUGGAUCUAUGCUGGCCUCUUAACAGUCUACUUCAGCCUAACUUAUUAUGCUUCAUGGAGGGCUUACCAAGUGGCUCAGUGAUAAAGAAUCCAUCUGCCUAUGCAGGAGAUGCCAGUUCAAUCCCUGGGUUGGUAAGAUCCUCUGGAAAAGAAAAUGGCAACCCACUCCAGUUUUCUUGCCUGGGAAAUCCCAUAAACAGAGGAGCCUGGAGAGGCUACAGUCCAUGGGGUCACAAAGAGUCUCUCACACACACACACACACACACACACACACACACACGAAUCUAUACCUUAAGAACCUCAGUUUUAAUCUUAGGAAAGUUGAUUUUCAAUUUGGCAUGGUGUCUGUGAUGGAAUCUAGUAUGGAGCCUUUGAAGAGGUUUUCUGGGGGUGAUUCUGAAUCCUGAAAUGGGAAAUCAUGUGUACAGAUGACAGAUUGUGAAUUAUACAGAAUUAAAAAAAGCCAAAUAUGGAAUAAGAGUAUUUUAAUUGCACAGCACAAGUUUUUAAAAUAAGAGUACAGGGAAGUACAGUACAUCAUUCCUUUCUUUCUUCACUCAGUAAUGAGUUACCUUCUUCUUGCCCAUACAUAUUUAACAAAAAUAAUAAUGCUUUCUUGUAAGGUCAACCAACCCAGAGGUAGCACAAAGACCUCAUGAUGUUCAGUCUAUUGCU